UCUGCCCCACGGGGAAGGAUGAGAAGCUUCGACUAAGGUUCGACUCGAGCGAAGCGAGAGAACGUUGCCGCAGGCAACGGCCCGAAGGGCGAGGAGCGAUAGCGACGAGUUAUCCUUCCCCCACCACCA
rnacentral:sRNA from 2 species